rnacentral:rRNA from 1 species
GACGAACGCUGGCGGCGUGCCUAAUACAUGCAAGUCGAGCGAUUGACGAGAAGCUUGCUUCUCUGAUUUAGCGGCGGACGGGUGAGUAACACGUGGGCAACCUGCCCUACAGAUCAGGAUAACUCAGGGAAACCUGGGCUAAUACCGGAUAAUCCUUCGAAUCACAUGUUUUGAAGUUGAAAGGCGCUUCGGCGUCACUGUAGGAUGGGCCCGCGGUGCAUUAGCUAGUUGGUGGGGUAACGGCCUACCAAGGCAACGAUGCAUAGCCGACCUGAGAGGGUGAUCGACCACAUUGGGACUGAGACACGGCCCAAACUCCUACGGGAGGCAGCAGUAGGGAAUCUUCCACAAUGGACGAAAGUCUGAUGGAGCAACGCCGCGUGAGUGAUGAAGGUUUUCGGAUCGUAAAACUCUGUUGUAAGGGAAGAACAAGUACGUUAGGAAAUGAACGUACCUUGACGGUACCUUAUUAGAAAGCCACGGCUAACUACGUGCCAGCCGCCGCAGUAACAC